rnacentral:rRNA from 1 species
GCCGUAGGUGGCGAACGUUAUCCGGAAUUAUUGGGCGUAAAGAGCUCGUAGGCGGCUUGUCGCGUCGGCUGUGAAAACCUGGGGCUCAACCCCGGGCCUGCAGCCGAUACGGGCAAACUAGAAUUCGGUAGGGGAGACUGGAAUUCCUGGUGUAGCGGUGGAAUGCGCAGAUAUCAGGAGGAACACCAAUAGCGAAGGCAGCUCGCUGGGACGUUACUGACACUGAGGCGCGAAAGCGUGGGGAGCGAACAGG